GAUCAUGGCUCAGGAUGAACGCUAGCUACAGGCUUAACACAUGCAAGUCGAGGGGCAGCAUGUUGGUUGCUUGCAACCAACGAUGGCGACCGGCGCACGGGUGAGUAACGCGUAUCCAACCUUCCGCAUACUCGGGAAUAGCCUUUCGAAAGAAAGAUUAAUGCCCGACGGUUUCCCGAAUCCGCAUGAGAGCGGGAAUAAAGAUUCAUCGGUGUGCGAUGGGGAUGCGUCCCA
rnacentral:rRNA from 1 species